GUAAGAAUAACUCAGUUGGUUAGAGUAUUAGUUUGUGGAUUUAAGAGUCAUGGGUUCGAAUCCCAUUUUUUGCC
rnacentral:tRNA from 1 species